rnacentral:rRNA from 1 species
CGAGUCAUUGUAGCAUACAAGGCAUACGGCUCAGUAACGCGUAGUCCACUUAACCUAUGGACGGGAAUAACCUCGGGAAACUGAGAAUCCUGCCCGAUAGAACAUUAUGCCUGGAAUGGUUUAUGUUCCAAAUGAUUUAUCGCCGUAGGAUGGGACUGCGGCCUAUCAGUUUGUUGGUGAGGUAAUGGCCCACCAAGACUAUUACAGGUACGGGCUCUGAGAGGAGUAGCCCGGAGAUGGGUACUGAGACACGGACCCAGGCCCUAUGGGGCGCAGCAGGCGAGAAAACUUUGCAAUGUGCGAAAGCACGACAAGGUUAAUCCGAGUGGUUUCUGCUAAAGAAACCUUUUGUCAGUCCUAGAAACACUGAUGAAUAAGGGGUGGGCAAGUUCUGGUGUCAGCCGCCGCGGUAAAACCAGCACCUCAAGUGGUCAGGAUGAUUAUUGGGCCUAAAGCAUCCGUAGCCGGCUCUGUAAGUUUUCGGUUAAAUCUGUACGCUCAACGUACAGGCUGCCGGGAAUACUGCAGAGCUAGGGAGUGGGAGAGGUAGACGGUACUCGGUAGGAAGGGGUAAAAUCCUUUGAUCUAUUGAUG